UCAUCAUUCCUAAGGGUACACAGUUAAAGCACACUAAUAUUUCAGAGGGCCAUGACUCAUUAGACUGUCAUGUGGUAUAACCUUUCCGUGAUGAUUUGUAUACCAGAUUUCAUUCCAUGGUAGCAACUAUCUGAGAGGAAAUCCAAUCGAGGGUAAGCUCCUGAUAAACAUUGAUUAGAAAGAAGAAGACAGAAAUGGACUUCUAAGAGUUAAUCACUGAAGAGACUUACUCCAAAACCAGAGCUGAAAACACAUAUGCACAACAUCUGAUGGGCCUGAAAAUAUAUUUCCAGCCCACAAAAUUGAUACUAACCUCACCUUUAGCUUUACUGAUAUAGUUUUACUUCAGAUUUUAUUGUU
rnacentral:lncRNA from 1 species